rnacentral:rRNA from 1 species
GAUGAACGCUGGCGGCGUGCCUAAUACAUGCAAGUCGAGCGAACGGACGAGAAGCUUGCUUCUCUGAUGUUAGCGGCGGUCGGGUGAGUAACACGUGGAUAACCUACCUAUAAGACUGGGAUAACUUCGGGAAACCGGAGCUAAUACCGGAUAAUAUUUUGAACCGCAUGGUUCAAAAGUGAAAGACGGUCUUGCUGUCACUUAUAGAUGGAUCCGCGCUGCAUUAGCUAGUUGGUAAGGUAACGGCUUACCAAGGCAACGAUUCAUAACCCACCUGACAGGAUGAUCGGCCACACUGAAACUCACACACGGUCCAGACUCCUAAGGGAGGCAGCAGUAGGGAAUCUUCCACAAUGCGCGAAAUCCUGACGUAGCAACGCCGCGUGAGUGAUGAAGGUCUUCGGAUCGUAAAACUCUGUUAUUAGGGAAGAACAUAUGUGUAAGUAACUGUGCACAUCUUGACGGUACCUAAUCAGAAAGCCACGGCUAACUACGUG